rnacentral:rRNA from 1 species
UACGUAGGUGGCAAGCGUUGUCCGGAAUUAUUGGGCGUAAAGCGCGCGCAGGUGGUUCCUUAAGUCUGAUGUGAAAGCCCACGGCUCAACCGUGGAGGGUCAUUGGAAACUGGGGGACUUGAGUGCAGAAGAGGAAAGUGGAAUUCCAAGUGUAGCGGUGAAAUGCGUAGAGAUUUGGAGGAACGCCAGUGGCGAAGGCGACUUUCUGGUCUGUAACUGACACUGAGGCGCGAAAGCGUGGGGAGCAAACAGG